rnacentral:rRNA from 1 species
UAGAGUUUGAUCCUGGCUCAGAUUGAACGCUGGCGGUAUGCUUAACACAUGCAAGUCGAACGGAAACGAUACUAGCUUGCUAGUAGGCGUCGAGUGGCGGACGGGUGAGUAACGCGUAGGAAUCUACCUAAUAGUGGGGGAUAGCCCGGAGAAAUCCGGAUUAAUACCGCAUAAUCUCUAUGGAGUAAAGGGGCCCUCUUCUUGAAAGGUUUCGCUAUCAGAUGAGCCUGCGUAAGAUUAGCUAGUUGGUGAGGUAAAAGCUCACCAAGGCGACGAUCUUUAGCUGGUCUGAGAGGAUGAUCAGCCACACUGGGACUGAGACACGGCCCAGACUCCUACGGGAGGCAGCAGUGGGGAAUAUUGGACAAUGGGGGCAACCCUGAUMCAGCAAUACCGCGUGUGUGAAGAAGGCCUGAGGGUUGUAAAGCU